rnacentral:rRNA from 1 species
GAUGGGCCCGCGGCCUAUCAGCUUGUUGGUGGGGUGAUGGCCUACCAAGGCUUCGACGGGUAGCCGGCCUGAGAGGGCGUCCGGCCACACUGGGACUGAGACACGGCCCAGACUCCUACGGGAGGCAGCAGUGGGGAAUAUUGCGCAAUGGGCGGAAGCCUGACGCAGCGACGCCGCGUGGGGGAUGACGGCCUUCGGGUUGUAAACCUCUUUCGACCUCGACGAAGAGUGAUUGACGGUAGGGGUGGAAGAAGCACCGGCCAACUACGUGCCAGCAGCCGCGGUAACACGUAGGGUGCGAGCGUUGUCCGGAAUUAUUGGGCGUAAAGAGCUCGUAGGCGGUGUGUCGCGUCGGCCGUGAAAACCUGCAGCUUAACUGUGGGCGUGCGGUCGAUACGGGCAUCACUGGAGUUCGGCAGGGGAGACUGGAAUUCCUGGUGUAGCGGUGAAAUGCGCAGAUAUCAGGAGGAACACCGGUGGCGAAGGCGGGUCUCUGGGCCGAUACUGACGCUGAGGAGCGAAAGCGUGGGGAGCGAACAGGAUUAGAUACCCUGGUAGUCCACGCCGUAAACGUUGGGCGCUAGGUGU